GGAAUUGAAGACCUCAACAUUUAAAUGACUCUUCUAAGAAAAGAGCACACAGUUAAAAUGCAUGAAAUAUCUGAUUCUAACUACUGUGCUGUUUCUAUGAACACACUCAAAGGUGGGGUUUCCGGGGACAGAAUCUCCUUUGCAAGGUUGUGGAAGGCUGAAUCACCCAUGAACUCAACUCUUGUUGAAAAGGGAGAGUCCUCUAAAGAGUGAGUAUGAUUCAUGGGAACUCAUCCAUGUGAGCAGAUCAGUCACUCAGAGAGGAUAAUAAACUCACAGAAUAAACGAUAAGAGGAUAUUCGACAUGACGGCAGGACUUUUCAUUCAUGGGGUAUACUGGGUCAAAUGUUGCCCCUCAAAUUUAUGUCCAUCCAGGACCUCAGAAUAUGUCCUUGCUUGAAAAUAGGGUCUUUGCUAACAUGAUUAAGGUAAAGAGUGAGGUGAGGUCAUAUUGGAUUUUGGACCCUAAGCCCAAUGGAUAUCCUCAUAAGAGACAAAGACACACACCAAAAAGAGCCAUGUGAAGACGGGGGCAGAGGUUGGAGUGAUGCUGCCAUAAGCCAAGGGACACCUGGAGCCCCCAGAAGCUGGAGGAGGCAAGAAUUCUGCCCUUGAGCCUUCAGAGGUAGCAUGGCCCUGCUGACGCCUUGUUUUCUGACUUCUGGCUUCCAGAACUGUGGGAUAAUAUAUUUCUGUUGUCUAAAGCCACUGAGCUUGUGGUCAUUUGUCACAGCAGUCCCAGAAAACUGUAACAUGAGAUGACUAACUAGGUGCAAGGGGAUGAGGACUUGCCAUGCACCAGGCACUGAACUUUCACAACCAUCCUGACAUGGAAUCAUCAGAAAGCUCCUAUAGGACAGAUAACAUCCUGUUCGUUGUAUAGGUGAGGAGCUAAGGCUCAGACAGGCAACCUUGCGAUGGAGGCAGAAGAAGGAUUCUAUGAUUGGAAACCUGCCAGACUCACGGGCUACAGAGAAGAAAGGCUAAAUCCACACCAGACUGUUGGAUGCACCUACAACAAAUUUCCCUCCGUGGCUCAAUUUCUUAUGAAUAUACUCAUAGAAAUGCACAAGAACUGAAAACUCGUUAGGGAAACCAAAAAAUAAAAAUUAAAAAAAAAAAGCUGUAAACCAAUGUUUCUUAAAACAUGCUCUGCAGAACGCUCGUUUGGUGGAAUGUAAAGUGUUCUUUCAUAUUAAAGGAGUUGCGUGUUAA